rnacentral:ribozyme from 1 species
UACUGCACUGGCAAGGUAUAGAUCGGAAACCACUUGAAGGUCAACAAAGGCUCCCCGCAGGGUAUGGAGGAACUUCGACUCAAUACGUCUCCGGCGUAUAGAACGGUAACAUGUCUCGCCAAAUAUCUGAGCUUGGGUAUAAGGGGAAACCCAACCCCUUGAAAAGAUGGGUGAUAUGGCUAAAUUGAGCGGA